CUCCAAUGCUCAAGUCAGAAAAACAGAGAACAAAAAAGCAGCAACGAAUUCUCUGAGAGGAGUUUUAUCAGACUUAUCUGGGUCUUCGGGACUCUAGUUGUUUAUAUAGAAGAAUGUCAAACAGCUAGAUUGUUAGCUGUGAGAUUGCAUGAUCUCAAGAUUGCUGGGCCGUUGGACAUGCCAAACUGGGUGAGAUAACUCUGCCUUUAAAUACUCCC
rnacentral:lncRNA from 1 species